UGACGCCUCUUUGUGCACGGGAUCUGUUAUCUUUACAUCGUGAAUUCUGUUGUCUGAACAUCAUAGAAUCACAAUUGAAGCAAGAAUUAUUCCUUUUUUGGCCAUUGUGUAUUUGAGAGUUGAAACCGCACUUUGCAAAAUGGCCUUGGGGUAUAUUGCUUUGUUCAGCUUUUAAUUUCAUCGCGUGAGAAAUCAGCGUCGUCCUUUAUUUUCUUUCAGUAGAUGUUAGUCUACUUUUGUUUAAGACGCUCAACAUUUAAUUGCUUUCUGUUUGUCAUGGUCACGCAAUUUUCCAGCUAUCUAAAGCGUCGCAUUCUGAUUGAUUGAUAUUUUAAGCUCCACAACGCGUGUGACAAGUUCUGUCAAUGAAACAAAAGCUCCACGUCACUUCGGACAUCCUGAUUGGUGGAAAAUUUCCCUUUUUAGACAAGAGGGCUGCUGGGUUUUUUCCCUUCUCAAGUAUUCAUGGUCAAAGGUUUUACGAUUUCCAUACCUCACCAACCUCGUUAUUCCAAACGCAAUGGAUCCCAAAGUCGCAAAGCUCUUCGAAGGAAAGACUCACCAAGAGAAAUUUCAAGCGAUAGCAUUCUCUUUUGGGUGCCUUUUAACAAGGCCUGCAGCGAACUCACCCCCUGACGCGCCAAUGAAGGAUGAGCUUAACGCGAAGGAGGAAUCGCACAGUAAACCGAAAUAUUCCUUCGAAGAAUUGAGCGACGAAGAGGAAACCGCAGAAUGACGAAUCAGCACGAGAAAAAAAUGCAUGGAAAUUCAAGCAAUGAAAUGAUAUGAACACGAGGAGCUUAUGCAUCACGGAGAAGUUAAGUCCCGUCAACACAAUGUUUGUGUUUGUUGAACAUUUGAUGCCAGACUGCAACAAAUAAGGUUGAAGCCUUUCAAAGGCUAUCGGUUGACGCAAAAGGACACGUACUGAAAUGGAUCUUCUCCUUCAUUUUCGCUUCGGUGGUUUCGUUCCAUAUUUUCAUUCAUUUCAAAACGGCUAGGUUCUUUUCAACUAUUUCGGUUGUCCUUGUGAACAUUUUUUAACUAUAUUAGUUAUUUAUUUCUGUGGAUAACUGCGCUCUGUAAUGUAGUUUUACUAUGCUCUCUAUUUUGGCUUUUGUGGGGCUUUAUUGAAACGUGCCGAAAGUUAAAUUUCCCAAAUUGCACUUUGAGUGUCUUAUAUGUUUCGAAGCAAGAUAUAUAUUUAAACUAUCACUUAUCAUAGAACCAUUAAAAUUGCUGUAUGUUAUUUUGUAACAGAAAAGUGUCAAAGAGCGUUUCUUCAACAUGUUG